AAGCUAUGGAGCUGAUGCUUAUC
rnacentral:snRNA from 1 species